GGAGCUGUGGCCUCCUUCCCUUGGGAGUGGGGCAUGGUCUCCAAAAGGUGGGCUGUGUCUACAAAGUUUCCCUUCUGGGAACACAGCCCAGGCCCCUUGCUUUAUUUAGCUUGGUGGAAAGGGUUUCUCCAUCAGAGCCCUUUCUCAACAGCUGUGUGACUUAGGGCUUUGUUAUGUUCCUUUUGACCUCUCUGAACCUCUUUCUCUUUCCCUAAAGUGGGGCCACCAAAAAUUGACCUAGCAAGGCAGUGGGGAGAUGAAAUGAGAUAGCAGAGAUCAAGUACCUGAGGUAGCCCAGGCGCUGGUUCAUGGUGAACAAGAGUCGCUCUCUGAGCCUGGGCAUCGCAGAGUGUGCUGCCCUGGGAAUAUCGGAACUGCCCCACCCUGCUCCAUCCAGUUCCUCAUUGACAGGACCCUCAAGGAGCAGCUGGUAGCAGCGGCUGGUUCCCUUCUCUGGUAACAUUCUCAAAGAUGAGGGUCUUUUAUCACUUGUCCCCCGAGCCCUGAUCAGCCACCACAGCUGUCACCUCUGCUUACGUGUGAUUUGGACCUGAGUUACUGGACCCCUCAGUUUGAGAAGUUUUUGAAAUUUGCUCUCCUUGGUGUCCAGUAAGAUUCUAUCCUCUAGAACUUUCUUCUCUUGCACUUCCCUGGUUCUGGGUCAUUGGUUGGGGCACUGGGCAAGGGGUCAGGAGUCACCUGUUUCUUUCUUUUCUUUUUGUGGUGCUGGGGAUCGAACCCAGGGCCUUGUGCAUGCAAGGCCAGCCCUCUACCAACUGGGCGAUAGCCCAGCCCAGGGGUCACCUGUUCCCUUAGCCACCUACCUGGCCUGCCCUCUAAGCUGUUUCAGGGUGGUGACAAACACGUCAGUUUCCGAGCUGUCUUUAAUCUUCCUUCCUGACCUCCCCCAGGGUGCUGGUCUUGACCCAGGCCAGGUCACCCUCCUGGUCCUUCCAGCAGAGACCACAGGUCUCUCCCUCACCCCAGUCCAUGCCAUCUGCAAGACCAGAGAACUUUGUCCUCUCAAGCGAAUCAUCCACCUCUCGCCAGUUCCCCCUCCAGAGCCACAGCUGUCUCUCCGCAGGACAACAGCAAGAGCCUGCUGAGGCCACCUGCACCCUCCCCCUCCGGCCGGCCCCUGCAGCCAGCAGCGUGUUCCAAGUAGGAUCCGAGGGGCCUCCCAGUUUCUGCUUAAAACAGCUGAAGCUUUCCCAGUACCUGUCACCGUGACUUAAAAGCCUCUGAGCUGAAUGGCCCCCACCUUUCCCCGCCUCAUCUCCUACCCUUCCUGGACCCCUCUGAUCCUACCAAGAUUGCUCCUGCCCCCACUGGCCCCACCUCUUGGAAUCCUGGCUCAGCUGCCACCUGUGAAUGAUUGGGGACCAGGGAAGGGCGAACUGGGGCCGGAGAGGGGUGUCUGGAGGCCCUUCAUGCUUUCCUCUAGAUAUUUCCAGAUUUUCCAGAUUCAUAGCAGGGGUGGAGCAAGGUUCCCCUAGCUCGCAGGACCAAGUGGCAUCAUCUCAUGGCAGACGGCUGGCUCGUGGGGCCAUGAGCUACAGUGAUACUGGGACUUGGGCUAAAGCAUGUACUGCUGGCGUGAGAACCUCUGGGGUGCUCUUUCCCUGGGCGUGGCAACUGGUAGUGGGCGGGAUGUGUCUGCUUCUGCCAGGCUGUGUCCUUGCCUUGUCCCUGAGUGAGUCCUGAUGGCCCACGGUGGCCCCACAGUGUGAGUGGCAAUAGACCUUUGUUGUUUUGAACCGCUGAGAUCUGGGGGUUUUUGUUAUUGUGGCACAACCUGUCCUCUCCUGACUUCUAUGGGGACUAGCUAGCAGUCUAGGCCGAGUGACAGGUAGUGCCCGUGCUGUUCAUGAAUAGAAGGAAGGACAGUGACUGGGAAGCAGCCGUGGGGCCUUUUUAAUGUACAAAACUGAGCCUAUCGAUUCCUGCCCAAAGACCUUUAAGGACUGCGGCUGCCACGAGGAGGAAGACAGAGUCCUUGCUGUGCCCUCCAGUCCCUGUGGGGACACUGCCUUGCGACCUCCCCUUUGCCAUGCUCAGCCUACAUUCCUUGCUGUCCCCUCUGUCCUGUCACAUUCCACCACUGUCCUGAUGAGGCCUCCCCUUCCCUCUCCACUCACUUCAGGGAAGCCUCCGAUGGCUGGCCCCCAGUUCCUCCUCUGCCGGGCUCGCCCCCUCUCCUUUGAACACCCGUCUCUGGGGAAUCUUCCCUUUCUUGGUGAGGCUGUUUGGUUGCAGUCCUGUUCCUCAUCAGGUCCUAGCUCUGUGACAGUUGGCUCGAGCCAUGCAGAGUUCUGAUCUGACGGCGCCUCUGUGAAUACCCCCGUGGACGGGGGACUCCCCCUGUGCUGGGGUUUGGGAUGGAAGAGUGGCAGCCACUUCCCUCUGCGGGCUGGUGUCGGACGACGCAGACCAAGUCAUUGGCUUGUAGAGUAACGAUGAUAAGCUCCCCCUCCUUACAGGUGUGGAAGUUCCAGGAGGGUGACAGGGUGAGAUUUAAUGGCCCUUACGGUCUCUGCUGAUCUGGAGAUUCUAGGAUUCAGAGGAAGGUCUGUGGAGCAGGAGACCCGGGGUGAAGACAAUGGUGAUGGCAGAUCCUGUUUAUCGAGGGCUUUUGUGGUUAGAUCCGGUACUAAGCAUGUCACGGACCAUAUUAGUCAUUUAAUAACAAAAUACCAGAGACUGGGUGCUUUGUAGAGAAAAGAGGUUUAUUUAGUUCGUAGUUUUGGAGCCUGGCAUGGCCCCGUGGUGAGGGCUUCCUUGGCUGCAUCAUGUCAUGGCAGACGGCAACGUGGCAAGGGCGUGGGAGAGCAGGAGGCCACACAGCAAGACAGGGAGCCAGAGCGUGAAGGGCCAGGCUGGCUCUUGUCACAAUUAGAACUCUUGUCUCUCAAAAUAACUAACCAGGUCCCUCGAGAAUCACAUCCGUUCCUUCCAGGGACAGUGCCCUCAGUGCCCCAGUGACCGCUACCUCUUCGGGUCACUGCCCCAUGGAGGACCAGGCUUUCAACAAAUGGGCCCAUGGGGGCGGGACAUGUUCAAACCAGAGCCCCCCAGCACACGCC
rnacentral:lncRNA from 1 species